rnacentral:rRNA from 1 species
GACGAACGCUGGCGGCGUGCUUAACACAUGCAAGUCGAACGGAAAGGCCCUGCUUUUGUGGGGUGCUCGAGUGGCGAACGGGUGAGUAACACGUGAGUAACCUGCCCUUGACUUUGGGAUAACUUCAGGAAACUGGGGCUAAUACCGGAUAGGAGCUCCUGCUGCAUGGUGGGGGUUGGAAAGUUUCGGCGGUUGGGGAUGGACUCGCGGCUUAUCAGCUUGUUGGUGGGGUAGUGGCUUACCAAGGCUUUGACGGGUAGCCGGCCUGGGAGGGUGACCGGCCACAUUGGGACUGAGGGACGGCCCAGACUCCUACGGGAGGCAGCAGUGGGGAAUAUUGCACAAUGGGCGGAGGCCUGAUGCAGCAACGCCGCGUGCGGGAUGACGGCCUUCGGGUUGUAAACCGCUUUCGCCUGUGACGAAGCGUGAGUGACGGUAAUGGGUAAAGAAGCACCGGCUAACUACGUG